ACCACUAAAGGCAGAAAAGAAUGAAAUCAUCCCACCCACUGACCCGUUCCCAAUCUGAGCAUAUGGAUAGGGCCCAAAGCACAUUUAACAGAAGAGAAACCUGAUGGCCUUAUCAAUGAAGCUACUAGACAAGUUGCUUUGGCAGAUGCCAUUCUCAUUAAUAAAACAGACCUGGUUCCAGAAGAAGAUGUAAAGAAAUUAAGAACGACAAUUAGAUCCAUAAAUGGACUAGGACAAAUCUUAGAAACACAAAGAUCAAGGUACUUUAAAAAAGCUAUUCCUAUUAAUAACAAAUCAUUUUAGUUAUUAAUAAUAAACAUUAAAUAAUUGACAAAUAUGCUUGAUUCUAAUAUAAGAAAGAUCUAAGUGCAUUUAAAAAGAAUUGGAUCCAAAAUGUUGUUUGGAAUGCUCUUAAUAAGUUAGUUUGGCAUAUUUGGCUAGUACAUUUGCCUGUCUUCAAAACUAAGAAUACAAAGCCAUGAUAACACUGUGUAAGUGUUUGCUUAAUGAGGAAGAAAAGACUUCCAAACACUCGAGAGGGUAACUCAG
rnacentral:lncRNA from 1 species